UGAUUUGAAAUGAUUUUUCAUUUGGCAAUAAGAAUCAUCCAAUCAGAAAAGAGACGGUGCGAUCAACUGCUUAUAAAACAGGAAAGGCUUUUCUUUAUUCAAUCGUAAGGGAGAGUGAAGAGAACCGGCCAGGGUUUUAUAUCUUGCUUAACCGUCUCUAAUAAAAAUUGCGAAAACGUACCAUCUUUAUUAUGAAGAAUGGCCAGCAAAUCGCCUUCAUCACUUUGCUCUUCUUUGUCCUACUUAACGCUCGUGAUGUGAGUCGCCAAAGAGAAAGACUUGAAAAUCAUUUUUCUACUGGGAAUGGUUCUUUUCCAGACCAGAGAGGAAACGAAGUGUCUUCAUCAAUUGGGUCCAAAAACCAGUUUGAAAAUCUCAAUCAGAUUCAACCUGCUGAGAGGAAAAACAUGUUUUUGAAGACGUUCAAUAAAAGAAGCCCGAUUGGAUGUAAUCAAAGUCGCAGUUUUGGCUGAGAUGGAUACACGUUGUUAAAGAAAAAGUCAAAGAAAGAAAAAAAAAAGAAAGAAUCCAAUGUAUUUGUAACUUUUAAUAACCCACAACAAUUUAGAGACUAUUAAUGCUAACUUGAGACUACUCAAAUAGAUUUGUAUGUGCAAAAUUAAAUUCCAUUAAAUGAAAA